rnacentral:rRNA from 1 species
AGUGAACGCUGGCGGUAGGCCUAACACAUGGAAGUCGAGCGGCAGCACAGUAAGAGCUUGCUCUUACGGGUGGCGAGUGGCGGACGGGUGAGGAAUACAUCGGAAUCUACUUUUUCGUGGGGGAUAACGUAGGGAAACUUACGCUAAUACCGCAUACGACCUACGGGUGAAAGCAGGGGAUCUUCGGACCUUGCGCGAUUGAAUGAGCCGAUGUCGGAUUAGCUAGUUGGCGGGGUAAAGGCCCACCAAGGCGACGAUCCGUAGCUGGUCUGAGAGGAUGAUCAGCCACACUGGAGCUGAGACACGGUCCAGACUCCUGCGGGAGGCAGCAGUGGGGAAUAUUGGACAAUGGGCGCAAGCCUGAUCCAGCCAUACCGCGUGGGUGAAGAAGGCCUUCGGGUUGUAAAGCCCUUUUGUUGGGAAAGAAAAGCAGCAGGUUAAUACCCCGCUGUUCUGACGGUACCCAAAGAAUAAGCACCGGCUAACUUCGUG